UUUAAUUCGAUGAUACGCGAGGAACCUUACCUAGGCUAGAAUGCGCGUGACCGGCUCAGAGAUGAGCCUUUCCUUCGGGACACAAAGCAAGGUGCUGCAUGGCCGUCGUCAGCUCGUGCCGUGAGGUGUUGGGUUAAGUCCCGCAACGAGCGCAACCCCUAUGGUUAGUUGCCAGCACGUAAUGGUGGGGACUCUAGCCAGACUGCCUGCGCAAGCAGUGAGGAAGGCGGGGACGACGUCAGGUCAUCAUGGCCCUUACGCCUAGGGCGACACACGUGCUACAAUGGACGGUACAACGGGUAGCUACCAGGCGACUGGAUGCCAAUCUCGAAAAGCCGUUCUCAGUUCGGAUCGGAGUCUGCAACUCGACUCCGUGAAGCUGGAAUCACUAGUAAUCGCGCAUCAGCCAUGGCG
rnacentral:rRNA from 1 species